AGAGUUUGAUUCUGGCUCAGAUUGAACGCUGGCGGCGUGCCUAACACAUGCAAGUCGAACGAAGCAUGGGAGCUUGCUCCUGUGACUGAGUGGCGCACGGGUGAGUAACACGUGGAUGAUCUACCCAUCAGUUCGGAACAACAGUUGGAAACGACUGCUAAUACCGGAUACGAUCUUUUUUCGCAUUUAAGGUGAAAGGGGGCCUCUGCAAAUGCUCCCGCUGAUGGAUGAGUCCGCGCCUCAUUAGGUAGUUGGUAGGGUAACGGCCUACCAAGCCGACGAUGAGUAGCCGGCCUGAGAGGGUAAUCGGCCACACUGGGACUGGAACACGGCCCAGACUCCUACGGGAGGCAGCAGUGGGGAAUAUUGCGCACGAAAGUCUGACGCAGCGACGCCGCGUGAGGGAUGAAGGCCUUCGGGUCGUAAACCUCUGUCAGGAGGGAAGAACAAGCCACGUGCUAAUCAGCGUGGCCCUGACGGUACCUCCAAAGGAAGCACCGGCUAACUCCGUGCCAGCAGCCGCGGUAAUACGGAGGGUGCGAGCGUUAAUCGGAAUUACUGGGCGUAAAGCGCGCGUAGGCGGCUUUGUAAGUCAGAGGUGAAAUCCCACGGCUCACCCGUGGAACUGCCUUUGAUACUGCAUUGCUUGAGUGUGUGAGAGGAUGGCGGAAUUCCAGGUGUAGGAGUGAAAUCCGUAGAGAUCUGGAGGAACAUCAGUGGCGAAGGCGGCCACCUGGACUGACACUGACGCUGAGGUGCGAAAGCGUGGGUAGCAAACAGGAUUAGAUACCCUGGUAGUCCACGCCGUAAACGAUGGGUGCUAGGUGUUGGGGAUUUAAUCUUCGGCGCCGCAGCUAACGCGAUAAGCACCCCGCCUGGGGAGUACGGUCGCAAGGCUGAAACUCAAAGAAAUUGACGGGGGCCCGCACAAGCGGUGGAGUAUGUGGUUUAAUUCGAUGCAACGCGA
rnacentral:rRNA from 1 species